CAUAUAUGAAUAUCCUGUAUCCUCGCAUUUGAACUGGCGAUAGAAUGAAAUCAGUCAGUGUUAAAAAUGUAUAUGUAAAAGCGACUUUAAGAUGAUGGAGAUUUGUACACUGAACAUAAAACUUCCAAAAUUUGGGGCAGUAUGUCAUAUGUGCAUAAUCUGUAUCCUGGCAUUUGAUGCAAUGAACUGGCAAUA